UACGUAGGUGGCGAGCGUUGUCCGGAUUUACUGGGCGUAAAGAGCGCGCAGGCGGCUGGUCAAGUCCGAUGUGAAAGCUCCCGGCUUAACUGGGAAAUUGCAUCGGAAACUGAUCGGCUGGAAGGUGGGAGAGGGUAGCGGAAUUCCCGGUGUAGUGGUGAAAUGCGUAGAUAUCGGGAGGAACACCAGUGGCGAAAGCGGCUACCUGGCCCAUUCUUGACGCUGAGGCUCGAAAGCUAGGGGAGCAAACGGG
rnacentral:rRNA from 1 species